AAGCAGAGCCCUUGAAUGUUAAAGCCGCGAAUGGCUCAUUACAACAGCCACAGUUUAUUGGGUCUCCAUUUACUUGGAUAACUGAGCUAAUUGUUGAGCUAAUACACGCACCAAAGCUUCGACCUCACGGGAGGAGCGCAUUUAUUAGAACAAAACCAAUCGGACUUCGGUCCGUCCAUUGGUGAAUCUAAAUAACUUAGCCGAUCGCAUGGUCUCGCACCGGCGACUCACCUUUCAAAUGUCUGCCUUAUCACCUUUCGAUGGUAGUUUAUACGCCUACCAUGGGUUUUACGGGUAACGGAGAAUAAGGGUUCGACUCCGGAGAGGGAGCCUGAGAAACGGCUACCACAUCCAAGGAAGGCAGCAGGCACGCAAAUUACCCACUCCCGGCACGGGGAGGUAGUGACGAAAAAUAACGAGGCGGUUCUCUAUGAGGCCCGCCAUCGGAAUGGGUACAAUAUACA
rnacentral:rRNA from 1 species